UACGUAGGUGGCAAGCGUUGUCCGGAUUUACUGGGCGUAAAGGGCGCGCAGGCGGCCGUUCAAGUCGCGUGUGAAAGCCCCCGGCUCAACUGGGGAGGGUCACGCGAUACUGAUCGACUCGAAGGCAGGAGAGGGAAGUGGAAUUCCCGGUGUAGUGGUGAAAUGCGUAGAUAUCGGGAGGAACACCAGUGGCGAAGGCGACUUCCUGGCCUGUUCUUGACGCUGAGGCGCGAAAGCUAGGGGAGCAAACGGG
rnacentral:rRNA from 1 species